GUUUUUUCCAAAGAUUCACCAGCCUCUGCCUAGGAAAAGCGCAGGCAUAUAAAAAGACCCUGUGCCCAUGAACAGGAGCUUUUUAUCAUCACCCAGUCUGGAGGGAGGCCAGAAUGCCUCUCUCUGUGUAUCUCUUUUGCCUGGACCUGAGAACAUGUCAGCAUUUCAAUGCAUUUAUCCAGGUUCCAUUCCCAUUUUUCCCAUUUUCCUCUAAACAGGCUGCCUCUACUCUCCAAGUUGACUCCAUUCAAUCUCUUGCGGCUGCUGCUUCCCUAACUCUGAGUCCUUGCCUUCUGCUACAUUUGGUUACAAUUAACGUCCAGCUUGUCUUCUAGACCUCACCUGCUCUGGGCUCUGGACCCAGGAGAGCCCCGCAUGUGGGCUGCAGUCUCCCUCGCUGCUUCCUCUUGGAUGGAUUUCAUUUUGCCUGCUUCCCACCUUGACAUUUUGACAAACCAGCAAUGGCCCAGAAUUGUUCCUAUGCUCUUUUCCCUGAGCUCAUGCCCACCCCUGUGAUUGAUAGGACUGGCUUUUAGCUUGGCAAGGUGAUCCUUUUUUAAGGGCAUGUCCAGAGGGAGCACAUAGUGACCUCACUCUGGCCAGGACAUUGCUGGGUACAGAAUAUAACUCCUUGGUGUUUGGCCUCCUGAGUCACUCAUUCAUUACAUAAAGUCUUUAUCUUCGUGCAUAUCCUGGAACAAUACUCUUAAAUAAAUACUCUCGGAGGCAUUUUACUCCAUGGCUAUUUACUUUGCAUUUCCAUGAUCUCAAUGGAACACAGAAAGGGAGGAGGUAGAAGGCUUGGCAAACAAUCAUUUGCCACCAUCUACGCACAAGGGGACAAGUGCGAAGGAUAUUGUUUUGUUUAAGAGAGAGACACGUCAUUGACUUGACAUAAUCCAUCUGUGUUCGGACCAGAGUGGAUUAGAAAAUUCCACUUGGCAAAGCAUGCUAGAUAACCUCUAUCUUGAGAGAACAGAGGCAAUUUGGGUUUGGAGUUAAAAGUCCUGGUUUCAUUUCCCAGCUUAUCCCCCUUAGCCUUGAGACCUUGGGCAAGUCCUUGAACUUUUCUGAGUCUCAGUUACAUUCCACCAUCAAGAAAUAAUAAUGGGCCUCCCAUCUACUCCUUCAGAUUGCUUUGAGUUAAAAUGAGAUAAUGUCCCCUGAAUGCUAAAGUGUGAAAAAUCUGAAGAAAAAAAUAUAAAGCCAUGAAUUAGCAGCCUGCUCUUAAAAUGAUUACUAAUGUUGGUCAUUAUUACUAGCUUCAGCAUCAUCAUAUAUGAUUGUUUGAUUUUUAAAAAACCUGAUGAGAUUAAAACUUAUUUUGAAAGGAUGUUAAGUCCACAGAUAAAAAUGCACUGGGCUAUCAAAAUUUUAGACCCACCGACAUUUAUCGGUGAGAUCUUACCUGCCCCUUUUAUCUACCUCUUCCUCCUAUUUAUCCUUCUCAAUUCACUAUGAACAGAAAGAUCUGCCCUCAACAAAUAAAUACAGAUUCCCAUGAAAACCUGCCAAAAGGAAAACCAAAAGAGGAAGAGGAUAUAAGAUUUCUCAAGGUUCACUGUGUUUAUUUCCAGUUAAGCCAACCUGACUCCAUUCAUGCCCUGAGACAGCAUGUGCUUAUUUUUACAACAAUUGCCAGUCCAUAGGCCAUCCCAAAGGGCUGCUGGAUGUCUUCCCAGGAACCCAGUGGAGGGGCAAUCUGUUUUUUAUUUCAUUUUUAGAAAGUGGGAAGGAUCCAGCCAUUGGCUGCCCCCAGAAUCUUGCUGGACUGGCCCAUGACUGGGACAGGCUGGAGACAGUUACACAAGUCCAGUCAUAAGCAGGCUUCUCAAAAUCUGACAGAGAACGAGAGCUACACACCUGGCCACUCUGUAGGUAUUGGUACCCACCCCUUUCUCUUUACUCACGUAGGUAGACAACUACAUGAUAUAAGAUGUUGAUGUGGUUUGGCUCUGUGUCCCCACUCAAAUCUCAUCUCAAAUUGUAAUCCCCAUGAGUUGACGGAGGGACCUGGUGGGAGGUGACUGGAUCAUGGGGGUGGGUUUCCUCCAUGCUGUUCUCAUGACAGUGAGUGAGUGAGUUCUCAUGAGAUCUGAUGGUUUAAAACUGGCACUUCCCACCUUGCUCUUUCUCUCCCCUCCCUCCAUGCCAGAUAGGCACCAGCAAUACUUCUCCGAGGAGUGUGCUUCCCAUUCAGCAAUGAUUGUGAGUUUCCUGAGGCCUCCCCAGCCAAGUGGAACUGUGAGUCCAUUAAACCUCUUUUCUAAGUUACUUAUAUAUAAGUGUGAAAAUGGACUAAUACAGCUGUCUUUUAAAAACUACAAACAUAGGAACUCAAAUGCUUUCAACCUAAUUCACCAAAGGCAAUGUAAUCACCUGGUAGACCAUGCCUUUAAUUCAGUUGUCCUUCCACUGUUCAAAACAUCCUUGGAACUCAUUUUUUAAAAAUUAUCUUCAGAGAAUGUAGCAUCUUCUGGAUAUCCUGAAUGCAUGAAGUUUUCAAACUUUUAGUGUAAGUAUGAUUUUUGAAAGCAGUUAAAGACCGUGAUGCUAGUGUAGUAAAUGUGGUCAGGUCUAAAGCUAAAUACAAUUUGUUCAUAGUGUUAAAGGAAGUGCAAUCAUAAAGUCAAGGGAUAUUUUUGGAAGUGAUUAUAAAAAUGGCUCUGAAUGGAGCUAGAUUUUACUGAUGGCAGCAUCCUCAGGGAUAACUGAAUGGCUUCCCAAAGUAAACUUUUGAGGGGGCCAAAAAUUUAACUCUGUUACUUUACUCUGUAGUUGUCAUGCAUUUUAUGAGAUGCUGACACUUACCCUUUCCAUAAUAGAUACUGGUAAAAUAGCCUCUUCCCAGCUGCAACCUCUACCACCACCAAGUUUACAGUAUGCAUAGAAAUGGUAUGGGGUUGCUGAAGAAAGAAAGGAAACAAAUUCAUGCUCAAGUAGAGCAACUUCUUACACCUCUAGCAGAGAAAUGAUAAGGCUUCUGAGACCAUCAUGAGGAAGGGAUGGAGCCCAGAAAUGUCUUUCUACAGUGCACCCUAGUUCCACCCACUGGACCCCCGCAGUGGAUCAGCAUACUCCUCAGAGAGCUAUUGCUGGUGCCCAUCUGGCAUGCUGAUUAAAAAGCAAUACGUACGCCAUGAUGUCUUUGGAACCAUUGUCUGAUGUGGAGGGGAACUGUGUCAAUAAAUCAUGAUAACAGUUAAUUCAAGUAAUAAAUACUUUUAUGGUUGAAUAUUAUAUUAUUUGUUUUUAAGUCUGGCUGAUAUCUAUUAUAAUGAGAUUUUCCUUUACUAUUCCAUUUCAUUAUAAUUGACAGUAUUUGUGUGAAAUAUUGAGGGAGCUCUGAUAGCCACAUUCAAAAAUAUAGUCAAGGUCUGUCAUGGGGCAUCCCAUCUAAGACAGAGCCCUCGGGGACAAGCCACAAGGGCGCAUACUGAAACAGAACCCUGGGGAACGCCUGAGCUAAUAUCAAAUCAUAAGACAAGAAGCAAACUUAUGUUCAAUAAAAUUUGAUGGGGGCAUCUUGAGAGACAAUGGUAAGGUCUUGAGGUUGCUGUUUAAACAGUAUGGAAAUGGAUAAGAAAUCACUGCCUCAGAUUUGGUUGGUAGCCAAUAAAGGCUUAGGGAUUAGCAAAAAGUUAGAAACUAUUGAAAAUAAUGAAAAGAUAGGAUCUAGCCUUCACCAUCUCUAUACAAAAUAAAUUAAUUUAAAUUAGUACAAUCCUAGGAGGUCCUUCCCAUCAACUACGAUCAUGAGCAAGCAAAUAGUUAAAAUGGAACCAUGUGUUGUUUCACGUAAAGAAAAAGGCUUGAGUUUUUGGUAACAGUUCUACCUGUAAAAUAGUAAAGCUGUAGAUACCUAUAGCAUUGAUGAUGGCAGGGGGGAGAUGAUAUUAUGUCAGUGACAGCGAGCCAAGCCCCAUCUAAAAGAAAGGUAAGCUGGGAGUUUUACUUAAAAAGCCUACCUAAAUUGACAGCUCUCACAGAAUGCACUGGAAUUUGGGGGUAAAGAUAGAAUCUUCCCUCAGGUUUGAAAAACAAGCUCUUAUUCACAUUUUCUAUUUUCCCAUUGACAUGAAAAUUGCCUAAGAAAAGUAGACGAGAUCCCAGGGGCACACUGCUUUUCAACUUGAAUCUUUGCCUUCCCUUUUCAUUUUUUACUUACAGUGAGUACAUGCAUGUAUGCAUGCACAUGUGUAUGUGUGUGUACACGUUUGUGGGGGCGGGGAGGUUGUCCAUGGAGAUUUUCUCUUAAAGGAAAGCCUAUUUCCCUCAGCGGUAGGAAAAUUGAAGCCUGCACCCUCCUAAUACAAGACCUACUCUUUUCUUUAAAACAUAGAAGACUUAUCUUUUGAAAUGGGGUAGCCGCUUAAGGAAUAGAUAAAUUCCCUGCGAUAUUUACUCCCAGAAAGAAAAAAAUAGUAUAAAGAAUAAUUUUAAUACUUGGGUCACUGAGAUUUUGGAAUGAGCCUCAGGCUGUUUCAGAGAGAAGUCUGUGUAUUCAGGUUGCAUGGAGAGCUGUGUUUAUUUGGAAAGGCAAAUUAUAUAUGAUAUACUUGGUGUUAUUCAGUGUGCAAAAUGCUACAAAAGCCUACUGUAUGCAUACUUACUUGUUAUACCCACAUUUCAUUAAACCUCACAGACAUUGUUACCCAUAGUUCACACUCUGGACUGCCAAGGGGUUACCACCCAUUUCCUAAUAUACCAAAGAUACCCCAAAAGAGAUAUGACGGGCAGAUGUAACCCUCUUUUUCAACUACUAUGGCAUCUUUAAGCAUUUAAACUACUAUCACAUCUCUAAGUAUUUAGGGAGUGUGAUUAUUAAUGUUGUACCUCAACUUGACUGGGCCAUGGGGUGCCCAGACGUUUGAUCAGACAUUCCUCUGGGUGUUUGCCUGCCAGGGUAUUAUUGGAAGAAACUUGCAUUUGCAUCAGGAGACUGAGUACGGUAGAUUGCCCUCCCUAAUGUGGGUCGGCGUUGUCCAAUCAGUUGACAGCCUGGAUAGAACAAAAUGGCACAGUAAGAGAGAGCUCCUCCUGUUUGACUGCUGAGUUGGGACAUCAGUCAUUUCUGAACUUCAGACUAGGACUGAAAUAUCAACUUUUGUUGGGUCUCGAGCCUGCCAGCUUUCAGACUGGACCUUACACCAGUGGCUCCCCUGUUCUCAGGCUUUCAGACCUGGACUGGAACCACAUGUGGACUCUCUUGUUCUGCCAAUUGCAGAACUUGAGGCCUCUUGGGCUCCAUAUCACAUGAGCUAAUUCCCGAUAAUAAAUAUGUGUGUGUGCAUGUGUGUAUGUGUGUGUGUGUUUGUCUUGUUGGUUCUGGUUCUCUAGAGAACCCUGACUAAUAUAGGAAGUAAGGGGUAAAACUAAGAUACAUUUCCUUAGUUAUAAAAUGAAAAAAAUAAGCUAAAUCAUAUAAUUAUUUUGAUGCUUACAUGAGAUGUUACAUUUCUUGUUAGAUACUUGUAUUAGUCUAUUCUCACAUUGCUAUAAAUAAAUACCUGAGACUGGGUAAUUCAUAAAGGAAGGAGGUUUAAUUGUCCCGCGGUUCUGCAGGCUAUACAGGAAGCAUGGUGCUGGCAUCUGCUCAGCUUCUUGGGAGGCUUCAGGAUCUUACAAUCAUGGCAGAAGACAAAGAGGAAACAGGCACAUCACAUGGCCAGAGCAGGAGCAAGAAAGAGAGAGGGAAGUGCCACACAUGUUUAAACAGCCAGAUCUCAUGAGGACUCACUGUACAGUACCAAAGAAGGAUGGUGCUAAAUCAUUUAAGAAAAUCCGCCCCCAUGAUCGAAUCACCUCUCACCAGGUCCCACCUCCAACACUGGGGAUUUAAUUGAACAUGAGAUUUGGGUGAGGACACAGAUCCAAACCAUAUCAGUACUCCACACUGUGUUAGGUGUAAAGAAAACCUAACCAGUGGUUCCCCAACCACCUUCUCCCAACACCACAUGUUCAUCACCACAAACUUUCUUUCUGUCCUUAGAUCUGCCACCCACCAAAGGAAGAGCAGUACAGUCUUCACUCAGUAUUUGCAGGGGAUUGGUUUCAGGACCCCCAAAGAUACCAAAAUCCAUUGAUGCUCAAAUCAAUGAAAUAAAAUCAUGUAGUGUUUACAUAUAACCCACUGCACAUUCUCUCGUAUACUUUAAAUCAUCUGUAGAUUAUUUAUAAUACCUAAUAAAGGUAAAUGCUAU
rnacentral:lncRNA from 1 species